rnacentral:rRNA from 1 species
UACAGAGGUGGCAAGCGUUGUUCGGAAUUACUGGGCGUAAAGGGCGCGUAGGCGGCCAUCUAAGUCAGACGUGAAAUCCCCCGGCUUAACCUGGGAACUGCGUCUGAUACUGGACGGCUUGAGUAUGGGAGAGGGAUGUAGAAUUCCAGGUGUAGCGGUGAAAUGCGUAGAUAUCAGGAGGAGCACCGAUGGCGAAGGCAGGUCUCUGGGCAUUAACUGACGCUGAGGAGCGAAAGCAUGGGGAGCGAACAGG